rnacentral:piRNA from 1 species
UGUAUCAGUGCCAGGUGAGGGUCAU